UGCAAGUCGAACGGUAAGGCCCUUCGGGGUACACGAGUGGCGAACGGGUGAGUAACACGUGGGUAAUCUGCCCUGCACUUCGGGAUAAGCCUGGGAAACUGGGUCUAAUACCGGAUAUGAGCUCCUGCCGCAUGGUGGGGGUUGGAAAGUUUUUCGGUGCAGGAUGGGCCCGCGGCCUAUCAGCUUGUUGGUGGGGUAAUGGCCUACCAAGGCGACGACGGGUAGCCGGCCUGAGAGGGUGAUCGGCCACACUGGGACUGAGACACGGCCCAGACUCCUACGGGAGGCAGCAGUGGGGAAUAUUGCACAAUGGGCGAAAGCCUGAUGCAGCGACGCCGCGUGGGGGAUGACGGUCUUCGGAUUGUAAACCCCUUUCAGUAGGGACGAAGCGCAAGUGACGGUACCUGCAGAAGAAGCACCGGCCAACUACGUGCCAGCAGCCGCGGUAAUACGUAGGGUGCGAGCGUUGUCCGGAAUUACUGGGCGUAAAGAGCUCGUAGGCGGUUUGUUACGUCGUCUGUGAAAUCCUCCAGCUUAACUGGGGGCGUGCAGGCGAUACGGGCAGACUUGAGUACUACAGGGGAGACUGGAAUUCCUGGUGUAGCGGUGAAAUGCGCAGAUAUCACGAGGAACACCGGUGGCGAAGGCGGGUCUCUGGGUAGUAACUGACGCUGAGGAGCGAAAGCAUGGGGAGCAAACAGGAUUAGAUACCCUGGUAGUCCAUGCCGUAAACGGUGGGCGCUAGGUGUGGGGGUCUUCCACGACUUCUGUGCCGCAGCUAACGCAUUAAGCGCCCGCCUGGGGAGUAC
rnacentral:rRNA from 1 species